rnacentral:rRNA from 1 species
UACGUAGGCAGCGAGCGUUGUUCGGAGUUACUGGGCGUAAAGCGUGCGUAGUCGGUUAUCUAAGUCGGGUGUGAAAUCCCCGGGCUCAACCUGGGAAUUGCAUUCGAUACUGGAUAGCUAGAGUUCGGCAGAGGGAAGCGGAAUUUCUGGUGUAGCGGUGAAAUUCGUAGAUAUUCGGAGGAACACCAGUGGCGAAGGCGGCUCACUGGUCCAUUACUGACGCUGAGGUGCGAAAGCGUGGGGAGCAAACAGG